GAAUCUAUACAGUUUUGUUAAAAUGGGCUGCCUUCUUAUAUUAAUUAGACUUUAUAAUUAGUUUAAUUAAUUUAUUUAAAGAAUGAUUUGCAUAAUAAUAUUAAAUUAUUAUUAUGUGCAUAUUUUAAGUAAAUUACUUAUUAUAUGCUAAGCAUGACAUGAUAUUGCAUUAUAUUUUGCAAUAAAAGUAUUUAUGAUUUAAUUGGUUUUAUUUAUAAUUCCAAUUAUUUAAGAAAAUCGAGUAAGGAUAUUGUUGGUGUCCUUAACUCAAGAAUUUUAGUUUUCAAUUAUUAUUCAUUAAAUUUUUGAAAAACCCGGCGUGAUAAAUCAUAGUAGUUAAGUGCACCCACUAAGACUUUAAGUUAGCUUCACGAGACCUAUUAAGAAUAGAAUUUCUUGUAGGCUUUGUGACCAGGGGGAUUAGCGCUGCUUUCCCAAGACAGGUUUAUAUGUGAUUAUGAUCUUCAGGCUUUGCCUAACCAGGUUGGCUGGCCGGUGCUGACGGGACGGAGCUGAGGCUAGAGAUAAAUUCCUAUGUUAGACUUCCGCUGUAGCAAUUACUCAUAUCAGUCUUUUGUUUUCCCAACUUAAGAUCUUCAUGUUAAAUUUCAAAUGAUAUACCUGACCGAGCUUAGACUCUUCACUACUAAAUUUAUGCCAAUGAAUGUUGGUUGUCAGAAGCAUGAAACAAAACUUGUGAUCCAAAGGGGCCUAGCCCGACUCGUUAUCUUAUUAUUCGGGUUUUAAUAAGGUUGUUCCUUGUUUAUUUCUAUGAA